rnacentral:rRNA from 1 species
UACGUAGGGGCAAGCGUUGUCCGGAAUCAUUGGGCGUAAAGGGCGCGUAGGCGGCCCAGUAAGUCCGCUGUAAAAGUCAAAGGCUCAACCUUUGAAUGCCGGUGGAUACUGCUGGGCUAGAGUCCGGAAGAGGCGAGUGGAAUUCCUGGUGUAGCGGUGGAAUGCGCAGAUAUCUGGAGGAACACCGGUGGCGAAGGCGGCAUCCUGGACCGAGAUUGACGCUGAGGCGCGAAAGCCAGGGGAGCAAACGGGG